AAGACUAUACUUUCAGGGAUCAUUUCUAUAGUAUCCAACUAGAGAAAUGCACUCGAAAGUGAUCGGCUGAGCAAGCCACGAGGAGGAGGUGUAGUGUUCUCUCCUGAGCGCGAAGCCGGCAGGCGGUGCUACUUCAUGUGGCUGCCGUCUGCCUUUGAUGACCGUUCCACCUCUUUCUUACAGAGAGGUUGGAGGGAGAGGACACAGUCUGAGUGGUU
ensembl:snoRNA